rnacentral:rRNA from 1 species
AACGCAGCAAAGGGCGAUAGUUAAUGUGAAUUGCAGAAUUCAGUGAAUCAUCGAGUCUUUGAACGCACAUUGCGCCCAUUGGUAUUCCGAUGGGCAUGCCUGUUUGAGCGUCAUUGCAACCCUUCGGUUCAAAGUUUUAAUUAACUUUGGAACGGUCUUGGGGCACUGUGGCUGGCUGACCUCUGGUCGCACGCAGGCCUUAAAGUUGCACGCUCUGCGGGCCAACCGCCUGAACGAACAUAGUAGAAUCGAACUGUUUGCUUCACAAAGUUGGCUCCGCCUGAACAAAACCCCUCUUUUAAGGUUUGACCUCAGAUCAGGCAAGGAUACCCGCUGAACUUAA